UACGUAGGUGGCAAGCGUUAUCCGGAAUUAUUGGGCGUAAAGAGCGCGCAGGUGGUUGAUUAAGUCUGAUGUGAAAGCCCACGGCUUAACCGUGGAGGGUCAUUGGAAACUGGUCGACUUGAGUGCAGAAGAGGGAAGUGGAAUUCCAUGUGUAGCGGUGAAAUGCGUAGAGAUAUGGAGGAACACCAGUGGCGAAGGCGGCUUCCUGGUCUGUAACUGACGCUGAGGCACGAAAGCGUGGGGAGCAAACAGGAUUAGAUACCCCGGUA
rnacentral:rRNA from 1 species